rnacentral:rRNA from 1 species
UACGAAGGGGGCUAGCGUUGCUCGGAAUCACUGGGCGUAAAGGGUGCGUAGGCGGGUCUUUAAGUCAGGGGUGAAAGCCCAGAGCUCAACUCUGGAAUUGCCUUUGAAACUAGAGAACUUGGGUACGGGAGAGGUGAGUGGAAUUCCGAGUGUAGAGGUGAAAUUCGUAGAUAUUCGGAAGAACACCAGUGGCGAAGGCGGCUCACUGGCCCGUUACCGACGCUCAGGCGCGACAGCGUGGGGAGCAAACAGG